ensembl:rRNA 5S_rRNA 5S ribosomal RNA
GACUGAGGAGACUCAAGAUAUGAAAACAAGCCUGAUCCCAUCUGAUCUCAGAAGCUAAGCAGGGUCAGGCCUGGUUAGUACUUGGAUGGGGAGACAAAUCUAGGAAGACCAGGUGCUGUAGGUG